AAAAUUAGUCAGUGUUCAUAUACGGGUGGCAAGAAUUUUCUUGAUUCCAGGCUUUCCAACACGAUUGCAUCCAAAAAUUGCUGUUUCCAAAGAGCAACCACAUUGAAAUCUUGCUCACUGUGAAAAUUAUUUUCAGAGCAUUCAGCUGCAUCAUCUGUUUCGGGCACUUUCUGAUAUACUGGAUUUAAUAAUGCAGUGACACGAGUACUUGUCCCAACAUUUGAAUGGAUGGAGAAUAUAUCAACAGCAU
rnacentral:misc_RNA from 1 species